GUUGCCAGCGGGUCACUGCCGGGCACUCUGGCGGGACGUGCCAUCGACAAGAUGGAGGAAGUGGGGAGUGACGUCAAGUCAUCAUGGCCCUUAUGUCCAGGGCGACACACGUGCUACAAUGGCCGGCACAGCGGAAGCGAGGCAGUGAUGCCAAGCGGAUCCCUUAAAGCCGGUCUCAGUUCGGAUUGAAGUCUGCAACUCGACUUCAUGAAACUGGAAUCGCUAGUAAUCGCAGAUCAGCCAAGCUGCGGUGAAUACGUUCCCGGGCCUU
rnacentral:rRNA from 1 species